rnacentral:rRNA from 1 species
AGCGUUGUCCGGAAUUAUUGGGCGUAAAGAGCUCGUAGGCGGUUUGUCGCGUCUGCUGUGAAAGCCCGGGGCUCAACCCCGGGUCUGCAGUGGGUACGGGCAGACUAGAGUGCAGUAGGGGAGACUGGAAUUCCUGGUGUAGCGGUGAAAUGCGCAGAUAUCAGGAGGAACACCGAUGGCGAAGGCAGGUCUCUGGGCUGUAACUGACGCUGAGGAGCGAAAGCAUGGGGAGCGAACAGGAUUAGAUACCCUGGUAGUCCAUGCCGUAAACGUUGGGCACUAGGUGUGGGGGACAUUCCACGUUUUCCGCGCCGUAGCUAACGCAUUAAGUGCCCCGCCUGGGGAGUACGGCCGCAAGGCUAAAACUCAAAGGAAUUGACGGGGGCCCGCACAAGCGGCGGAGCAUGCGGAUUAAUUCGAUGCAACGCGAAGAACCUUACCAAGGCUUGACAUGGACCGGACCGCCGCAGAAAUGCGGUUUCCCUUCGGGGCCGGUUUACAGGUGGUGCAUGGUUGUCGUCAGCUCGUGUCGUGAGAUGUUGGGUUAAGUCCCGCAACGAGCGCAACCCUCGUUCUAUGUUGCCAGCGCGUUAUGGCGGGGACUCAUAGGAGACUGCCGGGGUCAACUCGGAGGAAGGUGGGGACGACGUCAAAUCAUCAUGCCCCUUAUGUCUUGGGCUUCACGCAUGCUACAAUGGCCGGUACAAAGGGUUGCGAUACUGUGAGGUGGAGCUAAUCCCAAAAAGCCGGUCUCAGUUCGGAUUGAGGUCUGCAACUCGACCUCAUGAAGUCGGAGUCGCUAGUAAUCGCAGAUCAGCAACGCUGCGGUGAAUACGUUCCCGGGCCUUGUACACACCGCCCGUCAAGUCACGAAAGUUGGUAACACCCGAAGCCGGUGGCCUA